rnacentral:rRNA from 1 species
UACGUAGGGUGCGAGCGUUGUCCGGAAUUAUUGGGCGUAAAAGGGCUCGUAGGCGGCUUGGUAGGUCCGCUGUGAAAACUCGAGGCUCAACCUCGAGAUGUCGGCGGAAACCACUUGGCUAGAGUCCGGAAGAGGAGAGUGGAAUUCCCGGUGUAGCGGUGAAAUGCGCAGAGUAUCGGGAAGAACACCUAUGGCGGAAGGCAGCUCUCUGGGACGGUACUGACGCUGAGACGCGAAAGCGUGGGGAGCGAACAGG